GCGGCAGUAGCUCAGUGGUAGAGCCCCUCCGCUUUGCAUGCGGGGAGAUCCGGGUUCGAUUUCCGACUGCUUCC
rnacentral:tRNA from 1 species